CCUUGCUAAACAGGACCCAUGGGGGAGAGAUUUGAAGAAGCCAUCAGGGUUUUGACUAGAAGGCAGGGGUCCUCAAAGCUGUGAAAGUCUGAUCUAUCAGAGGUGGCUGCCAAGCUGUGCUUUCUUCUGCAGAUGGCAAAAGAAAAAGAUGUGAAACAAGACAUGUUUAAAUGGAAGAGAGAGGAAUGAGAGAGGAAGGCAAGAAUACAAAUAUUUAAGAAAGCUUUAUUUUCCUGAAGCAAAGAAUGACACUUGAAACCGAGGGAAUCUCAAUGUCCACCUUGCAUUUCCAUGACCAGCAAGAGAGGGGAACCCCUACAGGUAAU
ensembl:lncRNA LINC01698 long intergenic non-protein coding RNA 1698